ACGGGAGCUCAGACGUCCCAUUUCGUGGCAGCUUCUGCAUGGUGAGCACAGCCAAAAAUCAGUGUCAGCAGCGAUGACCCAUGUGGCUAAAUUCAGCCGUGCUAAAUCAGCAGAGCUCUUUGUGUUCGAGGUGGCUCCCUCUGUCCUGCAGGUGUACAGAGGAAGGGUUGCUCGGCAUGUAAAGCCAAAUCUCGUGUGGGUUUUCUUUUUGGAGGUGACCUUUCUGGUCAGUCUAAUGAAUUCCGUUCGGGAGGAUCAUCAGGCUCUGCAGUGUCUCUCUCUGGUGAUGGUAAAGCUCAGGGAGCUCCGUGGUGAGGCUGCAGGGAAGGGGCCGGAGUUAGAACAGGGGAAAAACUCUCUCUGGGACAUGCAUCCAAAUGGGACGCACUGGAUCUGGAGCCUGAUAAAAGGUGUGAGGCAGUGCUGAGAGCCUGGGGAGCAGGGGGGGAGUAGCCCAGAGCUCUCAGGUGCUGCCCUCGUGCCUCAUCUUCAUCUCAUCAGCAGCAUCAGGAGACCCAGGCAGCACCAAGCCCGGCGUGGUGCUGAGUGGCACCGCUGGGGCUGGAGCAGCUUCCCCACAGGCACCAGAGACCGAGCUCUGGGUCUUCAGCUCUGCCAGUGAGCGGUGGAAGGAAGAAGCAAGGGUAGCUGCCACUAAUCAGGCUAAUGAACUGGCUAGUAGGCUGUCAUCAUGAAGCGAGUUCUGCUGCAUCGAUCGUUUAUGAAAUCACCCCAGAUUUUACAAAUUGUGACAUUCUGAUUGUGUUGAAAACAUGUUUAAAAUGCAGUAGCAUGCAAGCAGCGGUGUUAAUGGCAAUUCUUAAAACCACUUGCGGGUUGCAAUCUGUAUCUUCAAAUUAGCCAGGGGAAGGAGAAAUGGCAGAUAAAAUAUCCGCUGUGGUUUACUGUAGUUAGUGUAUGCCUAGAAUAAUCAACGUAGGCAAGGGAAAGGAAAAGUAUUAAAAUUCGCUCCCUACUGCUAGGAGGGAGAUAAAUUUCCUUGCAAGCAAAUUGAGAGUGUUUGUUGGCGUUCUGCUGGCACGUGUGUGCUGCUCGUGUGUGUACCCUGAGAGCAGGUAACCUGUCUGUGAGCGUGGCACGGGAUCCACGUCAGGACUCGCUGGAUUUAAUGUGCAGAUUUAACCAGACAGAGCAAGAAGCCUCUUCCAAACUGCUCUUCACUGAAGGCUUUUAUUAAUGCCUUGGGAAGGCUUGAAAGCCUCACCCCAAAUAAAACGUUGGCCUUGCCAGCGGAACACAACUCUGAGAACAUUUUAAAUGUCAUCAAGGUAACCAUUUUGUUCCUUCUGUCGAUGUCUUUUUCUUUUCCGAUGUCCAACCGUUCCUGGAAGUUCUCUAAAGAAAAUAAGAGCGUUACUGCAUUUUGUGCUCAUCUGUCUAGCCACACUAAUGGGAGGCUCCAAAUUCUGUGCACAUUUAAUGGGAGAGGUGGUUACUUCUUGGAGUAAAACAGUCUCAGGCUUUACUGGGAGACAGUGUCAUCUUGCAAGGCUUCUCUUCCUAGCUCGGUCAUUUAAUUUUGAUAGCAGGGAUGCAAAGAACUAGCACUUAGUGGCUCUGAGUCGGCUUUGUUAAGGUGACAUUUCUUUUUAGAAAGGGUAAUUUUGUAUUUCUGCACCUUGUGCUGUACUUCGGCAUUUCUGUGCAGGGAUUAAAAAGCACACAAAAGUUCCGUAAACACCCUGGAAAAUCACUUUCAUCACUUUCUUCACUGCCUAAAAUUUCAUAGAGCUGAAAAUUACUGGGUCAAUCUUGAAAGGAUUUAGUAAUUGGAAAGGAGAAAAAAAAAAAA